CCUUUGACGUUAGCGGCGGACGGGUGAGUAACACGUGGGUAACCUACCUAUAAGACUGGGAUAACUUUGGGAAACCGGAGCUAAUACCGGAUAAUAUUUCGAACCGCAUGGUUCGAUAGUGAAAGAUGGUUUUGCUAUCACUUAUAGAUGGACCCGCGCCGUAUUAGCUAGUUGGUAAGGUAACGGCUUACCAAGGCGACGAUACGUAGCCGACCUUAGAGGGUGAUCGGCCACACUGGAACUGAGACACGGUCCAGACUCCUACGGGAGGCAGCAGAU
rnacentral:rRNA from 1 species